ensembl:lncRNA
GUCUCACCAAAGCUCUUGGUUCUGGACAUCCCUCGAGGUAAAGCCAUGGUGCUUUUCUGAGGCGCCGACGGCGGCACGAGACCCUGCCGCUCAAACAACGACUGCAGACGCAGACACGGUCGAGCGUUUACUCACAAAUGUAAUGUGACGGUUGACAAUGAAAAGUCGCAUCUCCGUUAUUGAGCUGGAAACUUCUUCUUCAUCUUUCAUCUUUCACCCAAACAUACGUACAUAUUCAACAAGAAAUGAUAAUGAACUGGAUUAAAUCAGAGAAAUUAGAAACGUUUCUGUGGCUCCGCCCCUUUGAAUUGUCUCAGGAUCCCUCAGAUUUAUCUCUCAACCCCUUAUUGGGGUCGCAACCCCUAGGUAGGGAAACGCAGAGGCACAUGACUACAAGCCGGGCUUGAAACUACUUUUUUACCCCUUUAAAGCAGAAAUAAAGUCAUUCAGAUGAAGCGCUAUGAAGCCUGUGUACGGUGCGGCGUUGCCUUCGUCUCACGUUAAUCUCGGCUUGCGUGAUGCGGCGGCUCGUCGGCCUCUGCUUCACCGUCGCCGCCCUAAAGUCGUCCGACGGUCGGCCCCUCAGGACGACUUCCUGCUGACCUCCGGCCAACAUCUCGUCCAGCUUGUCUGGAUGAAGCAAAGAAAAGAGGAUGAACAAAAGGGCAAAUAUAACAAAACACUGAACAAUGACAUCACAACCAACCACGACAUGACAUCACUACACGGAUCCCCAGACACAACAUGACAUUAUUUUAACAUCAUGACGUCAUUGCAACAUGACCAACAUUAUCGUCACCACAGCUUUACGUCACAACAACAAAUGAAAGCCACAAAAUCAACCACAACGACGUCAUCGGACCCAUGUGACUCACCGAAGCGCCUCCUCCUGGCUGCAGAUAGAACAAAGGUCAACAACACACACUCUGAGGUGCUAGCGUGUGCGUGUGUGUGUGUGUGUGUGUGUGUGUGUUUGUUUUACCUAUGUCCUCCAGGUCAGCGGUCAUUGACUUGGAUCGGAGCGUCAGCGAGGUGCUGGGGGCUCGCUUCGGAGGGGGCGGAGCUACAAGACAUGAACCAACCUCAAGAUCUCAAGUUCAGGCUGAUUUAUUACGCGUUUUGUCACCACACUAAAUUUGCUUUUUGUGUUUCAUCUCACGCCUCGGAGAAGUCAGGUGACAAAGAUCGAGAAAGAAAAGAUGGACUUUUCGCCCAACUAACCAGUUAGUUUCAGAUUUCCUGGAAACCGAAACGACCUUCAUCAGCAGUCGACUCCCCCCCUGUCGGAUCAGAGAGACCACCUGACGGUGCCCCACCUUCACCACGUCGGCGCCGUUCACCUGUGCGACACGCAGACAUGUGAGCCACCAGAAGCCCUCGUGUUGGGUGCCUCGCGUCACAGGACCGGCCUGUACCUCUAUGAGGAAGUCCCCGGUCCGUAGCCCCGCUCUCCAAGCCACGCCCCCCUGGUCCACCGACUCCAGGUACUGCAAGGCAGGGAAUGCCGGCGUGGGGGCAAACUCCUCAAUGGGGGUCUCGGCUUGAAAAUUAGGGGGGGGNNNNNNNNNNNNNNNNNNNNNNNNNNNNNNNNNNNNNNNNNNNNNNNNNNNNNNNNNNNNNNNNNNNNNNNNNNNNNNNNNNNNNNNNNNNNNNNNNNNNGGGGGCGACUCCUCUGCUCCCAUAGACAUCUAUGAGGAAAUGACUCUACUUCUCUCUUGAUUUAUUCCCUCAGUAAACAUUGUAGAAUCAAACAGACCAUAAAGCAGGGGAUGCUUUGGGGCGGGGCUACACAAUGAUUGACAGGUCUCUACAGGUCUUAUACGGUAACUUCCAGGUUGCCAAAAGAAACGGCCGCAAUGCAAGAUGACUUGAGGCUUCAAAACAUCAGGCCCCAAACCAAAGUGUGACGUCACCAUGACUACCUCCAUCUGGGCCACAUCUGGAGCCACUGCUGGAUUUGUCCCUUCCGUAGACCCCUCUAUUCAAGGCAACAAAAACUAUUUCUAAUUUCAGGUGAUUUUCAUCCUUAUAUCUAAAAUGCCUUUAACUGUUACACACCGUCCUUACAGUACGAUUCCCGAUGCCCCUGUAAGAGUAGUAUUUUAAGUAGUACUGCUGCUCUUACAGGUGAGGAUGGGGGUUGCACCUCAGGAUGAGACUCACUGUUCUUUGUUCUCCUCCACCCACCGCUCCUCCACCCGUCCCCCUGUUCCUACCUUUAGCUCCUCUGAGGACGAAGCCGAAUCCUUCGCUUUCCCUCUUCUGCAGCACGGCCGUCUUCUCCUCGAUCACGUAGUCGCUGAUGGAAAGAAAAGAAAAAGUCGGUUUGCUCAGCUGAUUAACAAUUAAAGGAAAAUGAAAGAAUUCAAAACAAAAUGUACAAUAAAAAGCGUUUGAAGACUUUGAAAGUUGCAGAGAUUAAAUUGGCUUAAGUUACAGUUGCUUUUUCCUUUUUCAAACGUAUAUAAAAAUAGAGAAAUAGAAAAUAAGUGUAGGUAAAUAAAUAGGUAAAUAGAAUACGCUAUAUAUGUAACGAUGGCGUUCAUGUCAUGUGUUUCUAUACGUGUUGAGUAUGACAGCUGUACAUGCUUAUGUAUAAUGUUUAUACAUUUUCUGUGUUUUCAAGUUGUAUGUUUUUAUUGUGUUAAUUACAUAUAUAUGUAUUAUAUUAUUACAUUUCACUGAACAAUCUGUUGUCUUUUAUAACAUAUAUUUAAUUCCCUUCUUGUUCUUGCAUUGUAAUGUGUUAUCAUUAUUCACUGUAUCUCCUGACCUCUUUAGUCGUAUUGUUUUAUUAUUUUAUUUGUGCUUUAAGGAAAUGUGGUCAAUAAAUAGAUGAAAGCAUCAUAUUCUAUAUAAAUGUGGUUUUAGUUACUGGGUACAAUGUAUUCACUGUGUUAUUUAUUAUUUUGAGUUACUAACUAAGAUAUUUCCUCUGCAUUGCGUCAUGUGCUUGUGAAGCUCCGCCCUGCAGUGCUGACGGUGUCCUACCUGUAGGAGGUGUAGUUGUCGUAGGAUCCUACGGUGUAAUGUCUGAAGAGUCUCUUGGUGCGGUCCUCCCUCGUCUCUGGAACAUUCACGCGUGGAUCACAGAUUCACAUACACGUAUGUGUGUUACAUGUGCUGCACAUGUCAGUCAGUACUCACCCAGCCGGGGGUCGUACUGUCUCAUCUGGACUUCCUCCACGCACUCGGCAGGAAACCAGCCGGUCCGUCCCUUCACGCUCCCCUCCCAGAAUCCUCCUUCCCCUAUGGACAGAACUGCAGACCCCCAUCGUGGCGUCAGCGCACCGCCGGGACAGAGACACUAAAGCACCGCCGACCCCACUGACCUUUGACCCUCUCCCCUCGGUGCAGCUGGAUCUCCCCGGGCCCCUGAGGGACGUGGGACCGGGUGGCGAUGAAGGUGCGUCCUGGCACGGCGCUGUACAGCCUCCUCUUCCUCAUCUGGGGGGUCGGCGGGGGGGAAGAAGGGGGGCUGGCCUCCGCGUGGCCUCCCCCGCUCGGGCUGCAGACAGACAGGUGGGAGGGAGACGGGCUGGUCACAGAUCUGCGUGAGGCAGCGAUGUCACAUGAGUCGAUCAUCAGGAAACCAAGAUCGCUGAUAAUUCCUCUUCAACAGGGGGUCUGUGCUGAUACGACAUCACAGGCUGCAGCCAAUCAGAUCCAUUCAUGUUCACGUCUAAAGAGGGCGGACCUCAAAAAUAAAAGAUGGCGGAUCAAACUCCGUAGAAUAGGGGGUCCCUGCUCCAUCUCGCCAUCAGUUUGGGCGACCUUGGCAUAAAAGACGUUGAAGACCUCUGAUCUACGACACUAAACAGGCACUGACUACACCCGUCCAUUAACUACACCCGCACUAGUGCUAAC